AUUUUCAAACAAACACUAAAACCCAGUGUUUUUUCUCUCUAUCUGGGAAAUAACCUAACUCACGCGUUCCACCUCCUGCAUCUGCCACCUCUAGCUCUAGCAACCUCCUGCAUCAUCUCACGAAAAAACCCUCACUGUCGCUCGUGCUCGCCGUUAACCUCACCGUCGCUCGUGCUCGCCGUUCACCUCCUGCACCGUUCACUCUCUUUCUCUCUCAAUCUCCAAAAGGAUCUUCGGUUUUCUCUGAAAUUCCACGCUUAUGGCCGCCGCCAUCGCUCGUGCUUGUGCCCGUGCUCCACUAUAACAGUUGUGCUGUUAUUCCUGCGGGUUUUCACCUCAAUCUUCAGGUCCCGUUUUUGUUGAACAUUCACUCUCUCUCCUAGUCCUGCUUGUGGAAGCUGUUAUGGUUGCGUACUGUGUUUGGUACUUGUUUCUUUUCUAUACUGACCUUGCUGCAAGAUCGAUAAGGAACGUGCUAGUGUUCUUGUUGGGUCAGGGAUGAGUGGUUUGACUGUUUUCUGUUGGUGUUAACCCUAAUUUGAUUUGUGGAGUUUAGAUUUUGCUCUCACUACAGGAAGAUGUCUUUAUGAUUUAUUGAUUUAAGAAAGCACAAAACAAUGAUACAUGUUACCAAUUUUAAUUGGCUUUAUGAAUGGAAAUCAAGUCCUCUGGAAUUUUAUUGAGGAAGCAUUGGAUUCUUGAGGAGACACUACAAGCGGUUGGCGCUAAGGCAAUGGUGGUUGGGCAUCCUCUUCAAACUAUAGGUGUAAUUUGUAAGUACAAUUGUAGCAUAUGGCGCAUAGAUGUCGGGAUGUCCAGUGGAGUUCUUAAUUCCAGACCAGAGAAGCUUGGCCCCUAUUGUAGAAAGGUACUUAGCUUGAGCUGAAAAAACUAGCAGUUGAGUUGUUUUGGAAAGACCGUCAUCAUCCAUAUCGUAAAAAGAAGAAAGCUUUCAACGGAAAAUCAGAGUAUGGUAAAAGAAAGCUGCUCAAAAUUAUGUGACUGAUCGAUUGAUUAUCAUGCAGAUUUCAAUAUAUGAAAUUAAUCCUCAGUGAUAUAAGAGAGAUUUUUCUUAAUAAUUACAUUCUCUGUGAGUGCACAAUAUUUAAUUCCAAGCUUGCAUAUGUUUGUUUACUUUUUUUUAUAGUCCUAAAGCAGUAGAAUGUCAUGUAGUUAAACUAAUUUACUCGGAGAAUGGCAAUGCAAAACGAAAGCAAUUGGAAUCAAAUGCAUUGGAUGUAAGGCUGCUUGCUAGUUUUUUAUGGCUUUAUUUCUAAUUAUAACUUUGACUUUUGAUUCCUUUGGGCUGAAUUUUGAUACAGCGGCUAUGAGAUGUUGAACUGAACUCAAGUCUCUUUGAAAACCUCUAGCUAAAAAUGCAAUGCAAUUUUUUUGUUUGUCAACUUUUCUGUUUGAAAACCUCUAGCUAAUUUGUUUGUCAAUUUUUUUGUUUGCUGGUUUUGAGCUUGAUGAAGAAACAAUUGAAAGAAUGCAACAAAGCCUAAGGGACCAUGGAAGAAAAGUGGUGGAAAAUAAAGCAAGAGAAGAAGCUGGAAAGAUUAUUAUUCGCAUGAAGGAUAGGUUCUCCACAAUAUUCAAUCAUGACAAUGAUUCACUACCUAGGGUUUGGACUGGGAAGGAAGAUAUCAGAGCAAUUACAAAGGAUGCUCGCUCUGUGGUAAUUGAUUGCAAACUUCAAUGAAUUGUUCUAGUUCUUUUAGGCUAUUAUGUUUUUUUUUUGCUGGGACCUUGGAUGUUUAACUCACUUGAGAGAGUGUGUUAUCAAGAUCUCUUUUUAUGUUAAUAA